AAUGAAUGACGACACUAUGUUUCGGUCCCAGAUGACACCAAAUGAUUAUACUGUUCUUUCUCUGACAUU
rnacentral:snoRNA from 1 species